rnacentral:rRNA from 1 species
GAUGAACGCUAGCUACAGGCUUAACACAUGCAAGUCGCGGGGCAGCAUGGGGGUUGCUUGCAAUCCCCGAUGGCGACCGGCGCACGGGUGAGUAACGCGUAUCCAACCUGCCCUUCACCACGGGAUAACCCGGCGAAAGUCGGACUAAUACCGUAUGUUGUCCAUUGACGGCAUCCGAUUUGGACGAAAGGUUUGGCGGUGAAGGAUGGGGAUGCGUCCGAUUAGCUGGACGGCGGGGUGACGGCCCACCGUGGCGACGAUCGGUAGGGGUUCUGAGAGGAAGGUCCCCCACACUGGAACUGAGACACGGUCCAGACUCCUACGGGAGGCAGCAGUGAGGAAUAUUGGUCAAUGGGCGUAAGCCCGAACCAGCCAAGUAGCGUGCAGGAUGACGGCCCUAUGGGUUGUAAACUGCUUUUAUGCGGGGAUAAAGUGGCCCACGUGUGGGUUUUUGCAGGUACCGCAUGAAUAAGGACCGGCUAAUUCCGUG